rnacentral:lncRNA from 1 species
UGGACUGAACUGAGAACCUCUCUUCCUGUUGGUGCACUUUCCUCUGACUGAUCCCCACCCUUCACUUACUUUACAUGUAUCUACCCUUCCCUAAUUGGUUUUCUACACUGUCAUGCCACCUUUGAAUGGUGCCUUUGUUUUAGCCUUUUUUGCAUACUUGUAAACCAAUCAGCAUGCAGUCCCCACUUCUGAGCCCAUAAAAGCCCCAGACCCAGCCACACUGAGAGAGAGACCACCCGACUUCAGGUCAGGGACCACCCUUGCAUCCCCUCUCAGCUGAGAGCUGUUUCAUCGCUUCAUAAAACUCUUCUCCGCCCUUUUCACCCUUCCAUUGUCAGCAAAGGGUAUGAAAAAGGCAGUAACACCAUAGCCCUCCACAUCUCCCCCACCGUCUGUGCCCAGUGGCAACCCCUUGCCAUGAGCAGCAGUGCAGGGCCAGGCCAGCCAGGGAGCCUCCAGCAGGAGCAGGCAACAGGACUGACAGAGUUGUUAACACACCCCCCGUUUGUUGUUAACAUGCCCCUGUUUGUCAGGCUGCUGACAGUGGGACUAAAACAGCUGUUAGCAUGGCUGUAACACCCCCUCUGGGGCUUCAGAGUCGAGCGCUUUCCUGUUUGGGUGCCACCACGUUCCCUUCAUCUGGAUGCCAGAGUUCACCCCAGGAGUCGCUUCUGACAGGCCUGAUCCAGCUGCAGGCCCCAAAGGGACCCCACUCCUGUGCCAGCACUUGGAGUGGCUGGCAAGAUGAGGCACUCACUUGAUCACACACCCCCUCCUACUGGGGCUGAGCAUGCAGUCUCGGUGGCUGCAGGAUCCCCACCAGAGUGCAAGCCCAAGUGGGCAGGGCACCUCCUGCCUGGGGCAGAGCUAGGCAUGGGCAGGGGCAUCACCAGCCAGAAGUCUGCAGUUGGAAAAUUGAGAAAAAUCCUGCGUCACUUUGGAAGCAGCCUUCCUAUCCUAGAAUGCCAGAGGGCAAGCAUCUGAAAGAUCUGGAAGGAUAAGGCAGCAAAGGCCAAGAUGUGAAAGUGCACUGCCCCUGUCAGAGGCGAUCGAACUAGAGCGAUUCCAUCUUGAAUAGGCGCUGGGUAAAAUAAGGCUGAGAGCUGCGAGGCUGCAUUCCCACUAGCUUAGGCAUUCUAAGUCAGGAUGAGAUAGAAAGUCCGCACAAGAUACAGGUCACAAAGACCUUGCUGAUAAAACAGGAUGCAGUAAAGGAGCUGGCCAAAACCAAGAUGGUGAUGAAAGUGACCUCUGGUCAUCCUCACUGCUCAUUCUAUGCUAAUUAUAAUGCAUUUCCAUGCUAAAUGACACUCCUGCCACUGCCGUGACAGUCUACAAAUGCCAUGGCAACAUCAGGAAGUUACCCUAUAGUGUCUAAAAAGGGGAGGAACCCUCAGUUGCAGGAAUUGGCUUUCCCGGAAAACUCAUGAAUAAUCCACCCUUUGUUUAGCAGAUGAUCAAGAAAUAACUGUAAGUAUAGUCAGUCGAGCAGCUCAUGCCGCUGCUCUGCCUAUGGAGUAACCAUUCUUUUAUUCCUUUACUUUCUUAAUAAGCUUGCUUUCACUUUAUGGACUUGCCCCAAAUUCCUUCUUGCAGGAGGUCCAAGAACCCUCUCUUGGGGUCUGGAUAGGGACCCUUUUCCAGUAACAUCCCCAUCACAGCCCUAAUCAUUAGGGGACCCUCUAGGCUCUUCCCUGCCCUCCCCAGACUGUCUUCCUUAAACAUGCUGGAUGCAGGGGUGCAUCAGUGACUCCGCUGGUGCCUCCAGGAACAUAAAGUAUGGACCUCUGUGGACAACAAACAACCCAAAGAAAAGACGACCCCUCACAGGCAGGAUGGAUAUCCACUUAUAUCUGCGGGGCCUGAACUCGCCAAAAGGAGGUUCCUCCUGCACGCGCGGCUUCACCCUCCCUCCAGGGCUCCCGUUGCAUUUCACGCCCUGCCUAAGGUCGCCCGCCGGUGAGGGCGGAGGAGGAAGAACCGCAGCUCCCGAGGACAGAAUCCGCUUCAAGGCACCUUGACCGUCGCCCACCCACACCCUGGCUGCGGCCCGCCGCCCUGGUCCCCAUCGCGCUGUACGGUCUUCCCUUCCAACACCGAGGGCGUUACAAGGCCGCCCUGUCCCUGCCACUCAUUCUUAUUAGUGACUCCUCCCCCAUGCUUUCCUCAGGUGAGUUCCCACCGCUCUGCCCGAAACAGUUUCGUCCCACACUUUUACGGCCACUUCACCCCAAAUUCCCUUCCGUCUGGGCAAAUCUUGUCCUUUACCCGGCAUUGGGGUCGCUCCAGAGCUUUCAAACCAGCUUCCCCAGGGCGCUGUGCAGGGCCCGGCCCCUUGGUGGCCACGCCUCCCGGGCGCAGAGCGGGUGGGACAUGCAAAUGAACGGCCCUCGCGACCAAGGAAAAGGGGCGACAAAGCUCGAAGUCACUAAGAGUCAAGGAGCGGACAAAAUGUCUCAAAGGGCCUAUGUUUUCAAUAUAAUAUUUACAUCAGAAAGCAGGUGAGAUGUUUACCGAAGGUGAGGUUUCUCACCGUGACCUUAAGGUGGAUGAAAGAAGGGAGGACGUGGGAGGCCCCGGGUAACUGGUAUCUCUUUUUUGCUGUUUGGUUAAUGAUUGAGUGUAGUGUGUGUUCUUAUCAGUUUAAUAUCUGGUAUGUUCUUCUGUUUGAUGAACGCUAUAUUAAACGCAGUUUUGGAACGGGGAGUUGGAGUAAGAGUUUACUCUAUCUAGUCUACGCAUCGAUUUGGUAUUGCAGUACUUCCAGAAACGGUGCACCUGCUAACCAUUAGUGACAAAAACAGGUUUGUAAUUUUGGAAACCUCAGAAGGUUGCUUCCAAUUUCACAGCAAUAUGGCUAAAGAAGAAAAAACAGGUAUGCUAGCAGUUUAAGAAACAGGGGUCUACAACUUUGAUUAAAUUUUCCAAAACGAGGUGGCUGACACACGCAAUCCCAGCUCUUUUUGAAAGAAAAUGGCUUGAGCCCACGAGUUCAAGAUCAGCCUGAGCAAAUAUGGCGAGACUCAGUCUUUUGAGAUAGUGCGAUCCUGGCUUACUCACUGCAUCUUUGGACUCCUGGGUUCGAACAUCCACAUCAGCCUCUCAGCAGACACGUGCCAUAACAACGGGCUAGUGUGUAUUUUUUUGUUUUCAUAUGUAUAUAUGGUUUUUGUUUUUGUUUGGUAGAGAGGGGUGUUUCCCCCGCGUUACCCAGACUAGUCUCAGACUCCUGGGAUUUGGGCUUUGGGAUCAAGCGAUCCUCACCCCCAACCCCAAAGUGCUGGGAUUACAGGUAUGAGCCACUGCACCUGGCACUCUACCAAAAAAAAAAUGUUUUUAAUUAGCUAGGCAUGGUGGCUCAUGCCUGUAGUCCCAGCUACCCAAGAAGCUGAAGUGGGAGGAUCGCAUGAAUCCAGGAGGUCAAGGAGCCAUGAUUGUGCCACUGCACUCCAGCCUGGAUGACAAAGCAAGACCCUGUCUCAAAAAAUAACAAAGAUAAAAAGGAGGCCGGGCGUGGUGGCUCACGCCUGUAAUCCCAGCACUUUGGGAGGCCGAGUCGGGCAGAUCGCCUGAGGUCAGGCGUUUGAGACUAGCCUGGCCAACAUGGUGAAACCCUGUCUCUACUAAAAAUACAGAAAUUAGCUGGGCAUGAUGGUGGGUGCCUGUAAUCUCAGCAAAGAACAAUCGCUUGAACCUGGGAGGUGGAGGUUGCAGUGAUCCAAGAUCCCGCGACUGCACUCCAGCCUGGGCAACAGAGCGAGACUCUGUCUCAAUAAAAAAAAAAAAUAAAAAUACCAGCCUGGUCCACAUGGUGAAAUCCCAUCUCUACUAAAAAUACAAAAAUUAGCCGGGCGUAGUGGCGGGUGCCUGUAAUCCCAGCUACUCGGGAGGCUGAGGCAGGAGAAUUGCUUGAACCUGGGAGGUGGAGGUUGCAGUGAGCUGAGAUCAAGCCACUGCACUCCAGCCUGGGCGACAGAGAGACCUUGUCUCAAAAAAAUAAAAUAAAUAAGGAAAGGCCAGGUGCGGUGGCUCACGCCUGUAAUGCCA